CAAACCUAUCAACUAAUAUAAAUCAAACCUGAGCGAGUAGAAAGAAGAGAAAGAACAAUGGCCUGAAAGUAUGAUACAAUAUCCACAAACAAGUCCACCGCGCAGGCUGUGUCAGCCCAUAAAGCAGAAGAUGACAACAGAGCAACAGACAAAAGGAGGAAACCCCUUUCCUGCUCGCAAGAAGAAGAAGAAGAAGCGCAGGUUGUGUCAGACCAUAAAGCAGAAGAUGACAACAGAGCAACAGACAAAAGGAGGAAACCCCUUUCCUGCUCGCAAGAAGAAGAAGAAGAAGGAAAAAAAG
rnacentral:lncRNA from 1 species